rnacentral:lncRNA from 1 species
UUCAAACUCCUAUUAAAAUACCACCAUACCACAUUAAAGCACUGGUAAUUAUCCCACAAAAUAACUAAUAUAUGGAUAUUUAUAUGAAAAUUCUAAAAGAUAUUUAAAAUUAAAUCCCUUUUAAUCCUCAAACCAAUCGGGACCCGACAAGACUCGACCCGAAUCCAAACCGACAAAUUAUAAUUAUCUUAUUGGACCCAAAUAUUUAAGAACCGAACCGAUCCGGAUCUGACAGGAACCCAACCGAAUCUGAACCGACAAAUUCUGAUUACCCUAUUGAAUCCAAAUAUCUAAGAUCCGAAGGAUCAUGACCCAACAAAACCCGACCCGAAUGCCCAAGCCUAACAAAUAAUUUCUUUAGCAAUGAAGUCUGCUAAAGUGUUGAAGUUCCUUGCAAUAAAGACAAAAGAUAAAGAGCUGAAAAAGAGGAUAGAGCUUAAUGUCCUGACAAAAAAAAAGCUUUAAUGUCCUGGGUGAUUUUGAGGAGAUUAGUCGGAUGGAGCUUGAAGAGAUUGCUUUGACAAGAAGUACUUGACAAUCAGAUUUGAUACAGAUUUUGAAGAAACCAAUUUUCUUGGCGUGGAGGAGAGCUGAAGGAGCUGCUAAGGCUUCUGCUUGAAGCAAUGAAGUAACCUGUUGAACCACACAUGAUCCUUAACCCAAGGAGAAACCGUCGAGCCUUUGGAAGACCCAUUGUAAGACAAGACCAAACAGAAUAUCUAUUUGGUAUUUGUCACUUUGAAUUUACUAUUAUUUAACAAUUUAUUAAAAUUUAUGAUUUUGUAAGAACAGAAAUAUUGGAUUUCGAUUAAUAUUCUCAUAGGACGUAUAUGGCGAUGUUUGUUAUUGGUAUGAUGAGAUACAUACAAACUUCAGUCUCCCUCUCGACUAUUGUUUUCUCUCGAUUGUUGUUUAAGGUCUCUAAGAAACAAGUUCCAACUUCCAGUAAUGCUUCAUCUUAACG